rnacentral:rRNA from 1 species
AUACCAGCACCCCGAGUGGUCGGGACGAUUAUUGGGCCUAAAGCAUCCGUAGCCGGUACUGCAAGUCUUCCGUUAAAUCCACCUGCUCAACAGUUGGGCUGCGGGGGAUACUACAGCGCUAGGAGGCGGGAGAGGCAAGCGGUACUUAAUGGGUAGGGGUAAAAUCCACUGAUCCAUUGAAGACCACCAGUGGCGAAGGCGGCUUGCCAGAACGCGCUCGACGGUGAGGGAUGAAAGCUGGGGGAGCAAACCGGAUUAGAUACCCGGGUAGUCCCAGCUGUAAACGAUGCAGACUCGGUGAUGGGCUGGCCUUGUGCCAACCCAGUGCCGCAGGGAAGCCGUUAAGUCUGCCGCCUGGGGAGUACGGUCGCAAGACUGAAACUUAAAUGAAUUGGCGGGG